UUAAUUAAAAUUUGUAUGGAGUUGGAACGUUGGCCUACGUUUGCCGCUAGAGGGCGCUGUUCCAACUGCAUACAUAUUUGAGUUA
rfam:Bombyx mori DNA, contig: Bm_scaf7_contig6143, strain: p50T/Dazao, build 2, whole genome shotgun sequence.